AGGGAUCAAUUACGUGAGGAGCAGAAAAGCCACAUCACAGUGUUGCGUAAACAAGCGAAAGAGCAGGAGCGGAAGCUUGAACAGAGAGGAGAAGUGAACAAGGAACAGGUUGAGGAGGCUCUCCACCAGAAUCUAGAGCUGAGCCGCAAUAAAGAAAAGGAGCUUGCAGGUAUAGACUACACAGACGACUGGGUAUAAUUGAGAAAUAAUUUGUUGUAGGCCAAAGCUCUAUCACCACUGUAGCCUACAACUCUUGAUUCCUUUCCAAUAUUUCCUUACAUGGGUGCAUCUCAUGCAGUUUGUGUCCAAUUCCCCUUAAAAAAAACUGGCUUAGGCUUUUGUAGAUAUGUAUAUAUUGGUAUAAUUAAUGGUGCAAACCACUUGAAGGUUUAUUGAAUGUGCCAUGUGUAUUGACUGGCUGUUUUAAUGUUUUUUUUUUUGUUUGCUUGAGAGAGAAUUGAACCAGGACCUAAAGAGUCUUGAGGAGCAGGUGCUGGCUUUGCAAGCUGAGAAGGAGGUUUGGCUGCAGUAUAAAAAUGUGGGUGGACACAAAGAUAAAGAGCAGAUUGAGCACCUAAAGGAUGAACUCUCUGGAUUACAAAAGGGGUUUGAGGAGAUGGCAGGUCAAUGUUUUUUUUUUCGGUUUCACAUUUCUGUUUUAAGAGGGAAAAUUUGCUCAAAAAGUUGAAUAUUCAUUUAACAAGUGCAUUUUAUCUUUACUACAGAAAAUAUUCACCGGUCCUUGGAGGUGACUUUCAAUGAAAUUGAUAAGAAAAAAGUUCAGUUGAUGGAUGAGAAAAAACAACUAGCCACAGAGGUAACAAUACUGCCUACAAGGCACAAACAAUAAUGAUAAACACAAUGUAGCCUGGAUCAAUGAGGUUAUAUUUUCAGAGAGCAAUCGAGCUUCUUGACAAGAACACGCGCCAGGAGGUGAAAGAGAAUGGGUGGAUGAAGAAAGAGGUUGCGAUAUACAAAACGGAAGUUUCUGUCAUGGAAGUAGCAGUACAGGAGCUAGAGGAAGAUAAUCUGAAGUUCACGGGUGAACUGUUUACCGAGCGGUUGGAGGACCUACAGAUAUCCAGGAAUGUCUUUCUCACUCAAGCAGCUGGACUUGGACCGAGUGAUUCUCUCACAUUGGAGCAGACCUUUAGGAAAACAGGAGAGAGCGUUCCUGGCCACCUGGCUGUCGUCCAGGCAGCACUGGAUGGCAAGGUGACCCAGACUCGGCCUUUGGAACUGGGGAGCGGUGAGCGCCGGCGCAGCAGCAGCUUCCUUGCAGCCACGACUGAAGAGGGCUGGCCACACGACCUCACCGAACUUCUGUACGGCAGCCAGACCUACUUCAAGGUAAGGCAAUGGCGUCAUGCCACUACUUCCUUUCAGCUACCAGUGAAAAUAAAUUAAUCUAAAGAAGUUUGAAUCGGAGAUCUCCAUUGUGCCGAUACAUUAACAGAAACUAACCAAUAUGUUCUUGAAGAGUUGCCUUCAUUCCGGAAGAAGCCGCACAAUUCCCUGCAAUCUAGAUUGAGCCUCAUUCCUCUAAGAAUAUAGAUGUAAGAUUUUUCCAUUCAAGCUUUUAAGAGGCAUUAACAGUACUAAAAAAUGGCAUUUUGUUCAGCUGAGGAUGACUGUGGAAAGCGCAGUUUGGAUGUUCCCACCGUUAGUUCCUCUUGGCCUGGCCUGGAAUAUAGAUGACGAGACAUCUUAAAGAAACAAUCUCUACCCUUGUUACUGAGCCAGAUCUAGGGCCAAAGAGGAAGUUCUCCCUGUGUCUAACCAACAAACUAUCUCUCUGUCUCUCUCCCUCCCCCCCUCUCCAUGUCUGGUGUAGGAGACCAUGCACCUGGGCUCUCUGGAACAGAAACUGUUGAGUGUGGUGGGCCAGGCCAUGCCACUGCACACAGCCUCGUCCGAGGCGAGCAGCGCAGACGUCUCGCUGGCCCCGCACGACUGGCCACUGACCGCACCCGUUAUCCACAACAGGUUCCAAUAGUUCUGGCCACCCCCAGCCCAGCUGCACACAUGAAAAGGGGCCUUUUAAACAUACGUUUAAAAAAGAAAAUAUAUAAAUAAUAUUAAAUAUUAAGUAGGAGAAAGUCUUCACAUUUGACUAAGUGUGACAGUACAGAAUGAGUGGCAUGUUAAAAAACUAAAACCGUUUCAGCAUUUAUACCAUUAACACCAUCUUAGCACUCCAUAAAUAUACUCCUAUUUCACAGUAUGGGUUUGGAACUUUCUUUGAAAGCUCAUACACAUGCAAUUACAAGUACGUACACACACACAGAGAGAAGUCAUCAUGGAAGCUGCGCUUUAUUUGAAAAUCAACCAAAUUUUGCUUACAUACAUUUUUAAUAUAUAAACAAAAAUAGAAUCUGCAGGGACACUGUAGCAAAUGUGCUAAUCAAUGAAUAGAAUGACCUCCAUAUUCUGACCAUCCUUCACUUACACCCCCCCCAGAACAGACAGGGUGGAUUUUAUAUACACCAAGCACCGAUCAACAGUGCUUCACUUCACCCUGUUCCACUGGACCUACAACUAAUUUAUAAAGAUACUACCGACCCCACCCCUUGUGUUACCAGUAUCUGAAAUGCACACUCCCCCCCUCCCUCGGUGAAGGAGUCCCGUAGUGCUGCCCCCCGCACAGAUGGCCAGAGCAUGAAGGUGACUCUGCACAUUCGGAUGGGAAAGGCAGCCAUAGUCCAGUAAAUGUAGAAUAAUGACAUGCCAAGCAGAAAAGCAAUACAGAUCCUCUCCAAUGCAACGCCGCUGAAUCACAAAUGUAGUGCUUUGCUAUUUUGAUAAAUGUUCCCUUGCAAAAAACCCUAGGCACAGAAUUGACUAUGUGGAUUAUUAAUUCAUUGUAUAUCUCCCCCCCCCCCCCCUAGUUCCCUUACAAACAUAGGGCUGUGAGUUUCUGAGCUACAAAGAAUUGCACUAGACAUGAGAAUGGUUGAGAAUAUUUAGUGCUCUAUUUGUCUUUACAGGUGUUUUCAUUUUUAUAUUAUUAUUAUUUUUCUUUACUCAGUCACUCUUAAAAUCCAAUUAUACAAUCAAUCAUACCCAUGUACGUAUAUUCCUCCACGCCGCCCACUAGGAGGAGUUCAAUAAAGUCUUUUUUUUCUUUUCUUUCA
rnacentral:lncRNA from 1 species